rnacentral:misc_RNA from 1 species
AAGUCGUAACAAGGUUCCCGUAGGUGAACCUGCGGAAGGAUCAUUAACAUCCUUGGAUUGGCCAAAAAAAACUUCUCGUUUUUUGCGGCUAAAUCUAUCUACCAACCGUGAACUGUUUCUUUACCUCCGAUUCAUGAGAGAUCCCGCAUCAGUCGUUGGACCGAGAAGAGAAAACGAAUGAUGUUUUCGGGAAGCAGGGCUCGCUGCCCUGGUAUUAUGAAUUGGUUGUAUCUUUUUGACUUCUCACAUUAACCCUUUGAACAAAACCCUUUCAAUCUUUGUAUUGAACUGAAACAAUAGUGUUUUCUUCCGUUUUUUCAUUAAAAUGGAAAAAACACGACAAGAUAUACGAAAUAUAAGAACAACUCUUAGCAACGGAUAUCUUGGCUCUC